AGUCGGCGUUCCAAUUCAUCCCAAAGGUGUUCAAUGGGGUUGAGGUCAGGGCUCUGUGRAGGGCUGUGCAGGCCAGUAUGCGUUUGUACUUGCCUUUAACCYAAGCCAAAGUGUCAAAUCGUUACAYCUCUGAAGUUCACAAGKAAUGUUAUUCAAUUCAAAAUGGUGGCUAGAUAUUUCAACUCAUUAAUUUCUCACUGAAGAUGUUUUAAGGCUGCUUUGAGCCACAGCUCAUUCUAGCUACGUUAACAGUCUAAUCGCAUCACAUUAUUGUGUUGGCGAGACGGUAUGGUAUCGAGAAUCCUCACCGCCAAGUGAGGAAUCGUGUAGUGGUGUCGUUWAAUGUGAGGCUCAGUCUAUAUAGGAUUUUGAAAAGUCGUGUCGUGUCCACCCUCUGGGAAAGGAGAUUAGCUAGCUACUCUACCGUCACAACCAAGAGGAUGCAUAGAGGAACAGCUUAGGGUCCACUUUGACCCCAAGAGAACAAUCCAGACUAAGAAUUUGCAAAAGGAGAGGUGAGCACCUAUCAGAUUUCCCCCCCUGCUGUCCUUCACUCCUCGAUCUGGUGACCACCCGCUGAGGCCCGGGAAGAAGUCCGACAGCAGAAUUGGGAGCCACGUUCAUCGCUAUGCAACGCUCCACUGACCGAGGUGUCACGUGGUCUCCUAUCUCCUUCAUAGUGGCCUCAGCUGGACCUCACCGCUGUUUACACCUUAUACCACGCACCACCGCGACCUGUAUGCUCUAGUCGGCUGGCCCUCGCUACAUAUUCGUCGCCAGACCCACUGGCUCCAGGUCAUCUAUAAGUCUAUACUAGGAACCACAAAACUUCCUCCCUUCAAAUCUUCCUCCCUCAUCCUCCAUAACUGUCCGGCAGGACGCGACUCCCGACUACUGAGAUUCCACUCCGACCAACGGUGUUUCAUUGUCUGAACAUUUUAACCACCGUCCGUCCGUCCGUGAUAUGAGCAUCUUACUUAAACUACUGUUUCUCMCUCUCCUUGCAGUUCACUCCCUCUGGCGCUUGUAGUCCACCCUGGGGUUUUUGGGGUCGUGUUACCUCUGUUAGGGCAGUGCAGGGAACAGGAGGUUGUCCGUGGCGCUUGGCUCCAAGGAAAACGAACUUCGGUCCAAACUGCAAAUGUCAGAGCUGUGGAGCUCUGGUUGGAGAGAGCUCGUAGUGGCGUCCGUCCUAACAUAGUUUGCAUUGCAUUUCAGGGUUGUCGGCUGUCGUUGUUUUUGUAGUUCUUGCGCCACUUCCCCAUCGGCGUGAUGAUGGCUUCGGUAAGGUAUUUACGAAUAUGAGAUGUAACGUAACUUAUUGCUUUGUACUCCCAGCUAUUUAAAGUAUUGAUUGAGUAGGGCACAAGCCACCAUCCGGGUAUGUCUCAGACACACAGACCAAGGUAYCGACAGUGACUAGGUGUGGGAUGAAUAACGGACUCUAUUGGCCACUUUGGGAGGAAAGGGGAGGAAAGAAUAUUCCUCUUCAGACUGACAACUCUCCCAACAAAUCACACGUUUGGGUGGGUGGGGCUUAAAAUGCAGGCAGGAAUUGAGGGGAAAUCGAUUAUUGGAGUUUGUACCGGAUGAAAAGUGAUUGCAUUCGUUUUGGAACCGUCUUCCGGGCGUGAGCCAGAUGCCCAAUUCAAAGCACACGGAAAAGCCGGCUCAAAACCAACGUGAUGUAGCUUAGACUAGAUUAAUCGCGUGUAGUAAUGAAUAGGAUUCUGUGUUUUCACAUGCAAAAGUGAUUGCUUUUGAUUUAAAAAAAAAAACGCUUUCUGCCUCCCCAAGUUUGAAAAUGUUAACAUACGACAUCUCGUUUCUGGAUGAUGCACCUUGUUGACAACAUGGCCGAGCAGAUUACUGUUCUAUUUGAGAAGGGUGUUCCUCCCUCACCAAUUUUGCCCGUUCACGUCACAGGCCAUAGACCGGUGCACCGCGGUUCAGGCUAAUAGAAUUGACUGAUUGUUGCUAGGGCAACAAGCGGAUGUCCCAACUCCUCCCUUUCCACGAUGCCAAACUGACGUUCUUUACGUACAGACGUGUAACCCGGAACGCCGGUACGUUAUAGGAGGCAACCCYUCUGUCUACAGACACUACCAUCCGGGUAUUAUUGAUUAAUGACUGUUAGUACUGGCUAAUAAACAGAAAGUGCCUGUGGGUUUUAAUCUUGUCAAUUUAAAGAGAAACUUGUAAUAAAAUUAUAUAUUUUUGAUAAAGUGUUGUCUGGUCCAUUUGUAAUGCUCAGAACUCAUGGUCCAACCCAAUAGGUAGCGUGUCACGAACGUGUCGUCCUAU